rnacentral:SRP_RNA from 1 species
UGACAGGCUAGCCUGGAUAAUUCGGCGUUAUCUAUCACCUGAAAUCGUCGAUAUGCGGGGGGCGAAGCCAAUGGAAGAUAUUACUCGUUAAUGUAACAGCCCAUAAACACAACAAUGAAAUUUCGUCCUGCAGGGAUGCUGUUGCUAUUGCAAGGUUGCCUGAAGGUGGCUUUUUAUAGCUUAAUCGUGGAAAGCGGUCAAGGCCCGGAAGGGAGCAGACCAGCCUCGAACAAGUAUCGCUUGUGGGGCUGCGAGAUUAAGGCGUGUUUUUGGAAUACUGGACAUUAGGGGGGAUGGCGACCUGCGGCAUGCCUGUCA